GUCCAAGCAGUUAGGCUGGGAAAUAGGCAAAUCCGUUUCCCGUGAAGGCUGAGCUGUGAUGGCGAGCGAAUUAUAGUAGCGAAGUUCCUGAUUCCACACUGCCAAGAAAAGCCUCUAGCGAGGUGAGAGGUGCCCGUACCGCAAACCGACACAGGUAGGCGAGGAGAGAAUCCUAAGGUGAUCGAGAGAACUCUCGUUAAGGAACUCGGCAAAAUGACCCCGUAACUUCGGGAGAAGGGGUGCUCUGUUAGGGUGAAAGCCCGAGAGAGCCGCAGUGAAUAGGCCCAGGCGACUGUUUAGCAAAAACACAGGUCUCUGCGAAGCCGUAAGGCGAAGUAUAGGGGCUGACGCCUGCCCGGUGCUGGAAGGUUAAGAGGAGCGCUUAGCGUAAGCGAAGGUGCGAAUUGAAGCCCCAGUAAACGGCGGCCGUAACUAUAACGGUCCUAAGGUAGCGAAAUUCCUUGUCGGGUAAGUUCCGACCCGCACGAAAGGCGCAACGAUCUGGGCACUGUCUCAACGAGAG
rnacentral:rRNA from 1 species